UUUCUGAUGAUUCCUUCAUCAUUCAUGCUAUAUUUUCAUAGAAUAUGUCUUCUCUGUAAGCCCUUUGCUACAGGAUAUAUCUGGCCAAACCCUCUAUAUCUGUUCGAGAAAUUUUUGACACGAUGAUAAAAGCAUUCUCUUUGCUCUGCAUUUGGGAAUACUUUCUUCACUGCAUUAUCCAAGCCCUUGCAAGCAUCAGAACAAACAACAAGGAGUGAAU
rnacentral:lncRNA from 1 species